GACGUAGGGCGCGAGCGUUGUCCGGAUUUAUUGGGCGUAAAGAGCUCGUAGGCGGUCUGUCGCGUCUGCUGUGAAAACUCAGGGCUUAACCCUGAGCUUGCAGUGGGUACGGGCAGACUAGAGUGCGGUAGGGGAGACUGGAAUUCCUGGUGUAGCGGUGAAAUGCGCAGAUAUCAGGAGGAACACCGGUGGCGAAGGCGGGUCUCUGGGCCGUAACUGACGCUGAGGAGCGAAAGCGUCGGGGAGCGAACAGG
rnacentral:rRNA from 1 species